AGGAUAGAGGUGCGGCUGCGAUGAGUCGCAGUCCGGAGGGUGCUCAUGCCCGGUGAAGGACUGUUAAAGGCAAGGCCGCCGAAGAGGAGAGUCUGAGCAGCUCUGCUCUGGUGCUGUACUGAAUAAGUACCGCACUGUCAUCAUGUGUGAUGGAGAGCUAUCGG
rnacentral:ncRNA from 1 species